GACGAACGCUGGCGGCGUGCUUAACACAUGCAAGUCGAGCGGAGCGGCGAACGGGUGAGUAACGCGUGAGUAACUGCCCCCCUCUCUGGGAUAACAGUUGGAAACGGCUGCUAAUACCGGAUAGUGGGGGGUGACUCGCGUCCUAUCAGCUUGUGGGUGGGGGAGUGGCUUACCAAGGCGACGACGGGUAGCCGGCCUGAGAGGGCGACCGGCCAAAUUGGCCUGAGACACUGGCCAGGGUCCUACGGGAGGCAGCAGUGGGGAAUAUUGGGCAAAUGGCGCAAGCCUGACCCAGCAACGCCGCGUGAAAGAAGACGGUCUUCGGAGUGUAAACUUCUUUAGACAGUGACGCGGUACCUGUAGAAUAAGCCACGGCUAACUACGUGCCAGCAGCCGCGGUAAUUC
rnacentral:rRNA from 1 species